rnacentral:rRNA from 1 species
GCCAUAAGAAUAAUUUAUGGUGUAACCUGCCCAGUGAUCUUUCAACGGCCGCGGUACCCUGACUGUGAUAAUGUAGCAUAAUAAUUUGUUACUUAAUUAGUAAAUAGUAUGAAUGGUUGAACGAAUUUUCCAUUGUCUUUAAUUAAGGAUUAUAAAAUUAAAAUAAUAGUAAAGAUGCUAUUUUAAACUGAAAGACGAAAAGACCCUAUAGAGCUUAACUAUAAUUAGGAAUAAACUUAAGAUUGGUAGUUUAGUUGGGGCGACUGCCUUUUACUUUUAACAAAGGCAAAUUCUUAUAAUUAAAUUGAGUUUCUGUAUAAUAUAAAUAUUUAACAGUUAUAAUAAUAGAUAUAAUGACCGGUUGAAAAACAAUAAAUUAAUAAAAGCUACCUUAGGGAUAACAGAAUAAUUAUUAUUAAGAGAUCUUAUCAAAGUAAUAGUUUGUCACCUCUAUGUUGAAUUAAGAUGUCCUAUGAGAGCAGUAACUCAUAAAGGUAGGUCUGUUCGACCUUUAAAAUCUU